rnacentral:rRNA from 1 species
AGAGUUUGAUCCUGGCUCAGGAUGAACGCUGGCGGCGUGCCUAAUACAUGCAAGUCGAACGAGGUGCUUUUGUCGAUUUACGAGAGUAUUCUAGUGGCGAACGGGUGAGUAACGCGUUGGUGACCUACCCCAAAGUGUGGGAUAACAGUCCGAAAGGAUUGCUAAUACCGCAUGUGGUCUUCGGAUUUAGAAACUGAUGACUAAAGGAGCAAUUCGCUUUGGGAGGGACCUGCGUCCCAUCAGCUAGUUGGUGAGGUAAUGGCUCACCAAGGCGACGACGGGUAGGGGACCUGAGAGGGUGGCCCCCCACAAUGGAACUGAAACACGGUCCAUACACCUACGGGUGGCAGCAGUAGGGAAUAUUGCUCAAUGGGCGAAAGCCUGAAGCAGCAACGCCGCGUGUGCGAUGAAGGCCUUCGGGUCGUAAAGCACUUUUCUGAGAGAUGAGAAAGGACAGUAUCUCAGGAAUAAGUCUCGGCUAACUACGUGCCAGCAGCCGCGGUAAAACGUAGGAGGCAAGCGUUAUCCGGAUUCACUGGGCGUAAAGCGCGUGCAGGCGGUGCGGUAAGUUGGGCGUGAAAUCUCCCGGCUCAACUGGGAUAGGUCGUCCAAUACUACCGUACUUGAGAGCAGAAGAGGAAGAUGGAAUUCCCGGUGUAGUGGUGAAAUGCGUAGAUAUCGGGAGGAACACCAGUGGCGAAGGCGAUCUUCUGGUCUGUUUCUGACACUCAGACGCGACAGCUAGGGUAGUAAACGGGAUUAGAGACCCCGGUAAUCCUAGCCGUAAACGAUGUGAACUUGGCGUUGGUGGGUUAAACUCCAUCAGUGCCGAAGCAAACGCGAUAAGUUCACCGCCUGGGGACUACGGCCGCAAGGUUAAAACUCAAAGGAAUUGACGG